GUUAGCUGAUCGUGGGACUAGCCAGCCCACCUCCCUAUUCACGCGAUGCGAGCCGUUCGAGAUUCGACGGCGAAUACUUCCGUGGUGAGCGGCGGCUGGUGGGUUCGAGCGUGCGGUGGUCGACGGGCAGGCGGGUUGCGUGUUGAGCCGAGCGGCGCCUGGUGCGGUGGCCGACGGGCAGGCGGGCUACGUGGCGAGCGUGGCAGCUUCCCUUGCUCGCAGUGACAACAUUCUCGCCGGGUUUGGCUUUGAUUUGGUUGGAUGUGUGCAGGUGAGAAUCACACGGAUGGAGUUUUUGUGGAGGCUGCUGGCCGGAGAGAUCACAAGACUGUACGCCCGAAGAGAUAAUCUGAAUUUUACCGUAGUUUUUUUUUUUUGGAAAAGGAGGAAUACCCCCGGCCUCUACAAUCUCCAAGUAGUUUGGGCGAAUGUCUUUUUAGACUGGGAAUUUUCUACCUGCUGCCUGUUCCAGUCCAUCCGUCCAUGCUGUGAUGGAGCAGCUUGUGUAGAUUUUUUGUGCUACAUGAUUAGAAGCAUCAACUGCUACGUAAUGUUAAGAUUUUGUCAGCUAGUACUAAGGGCAGAGCAGUCUUGUAGCGUCGUCGGUGUUCCUCUCCUCGGCCUCAGGUUAUGGUGUCCGUUGGCAUGCUUCUUGAUGCGGUCUGUAUCUCCUCCCACCACGACGGUCGGCAACCAUGUCUUCACCGACGGAGCCCCUCUCCAUCGAUUUACAUAGAAGGGUUCAGAAUGGAAACUAAGGUUCUUCAAGUACGGGCAUGGGUUUCAUGUAAGCAAUGGGUCUUCGGUGUUACCUUUUAUAAAUCAUGAAAGGUGACUUCAGUAUUUUGGGCAUGUAGCAGAGUCUCCAAUCAAAAUCUACAAGCAGUGACCAAGGCGAGGUGUAGAACGGGACUAUGAGUGCUUGGUCGAGCAUCUGUUGCCAUCGUCGAAAAUGAAGAACUCGAUGGUUAAUACAAUCCAUAUUAUAAAUUAUCUUGCGUGCAUAUGCGAUUUUUCUGAGAUAUUGCCUCCAUUAAUUAUGUUUUAGUGAAGGAAUUUAUCUUGUGAUAAACUU